AUUUGGGUCCAUUUUUCAGCCAUAGUUGAUUAUUUUGAGAGCUUUUUGAAGGAGAUUGAAGAGAGAUUCAAGGAGAAACGUUUGGAGGUAAGAAUUUUGGACCUAAAACUCAUUUAUAUUGUAAAAUCCACUUAGAAAAUCAUUGAAUUCUUGCAUGGAAGAAAUAGGGUUUGGGAUUUUGAGAUUCUAUUGGGGAUUUGGAGGACCAUUUAGGGUCAGAUUUGAGAACUUUUGGUAUGUAUGAACUCAUGGGGAGAUAAAGAACCUGUUGAUGUAAAAAUUUCUGAAUGUUGAGAAGUGAGCUCGGAGCUCGGUUUUUGCUAAUUUCGGGAUUUUUAAUGUUUUUCGAUUGUUUUUGCUUGGACUUUGUUCCCUUAGCAUAUUGUGACGUAUUCAUUCUGAUUUUGGAUAGAUUCAACGUGCGUGGAGGCCAAUUCGAGGGGCAAAGGCGUCGCGAGCUAAAGAAUUAGCCGGUUCGAGGUGAGUAAUGAUUGUAAAUGAUGCUCUAAGGGUUUGAAACCCCGAAUUGCACAUCGUAGUGCUAUAUUGAUGUGAGACACACGUUUGAUGACGAGCGUGUGGUCGUAUACUAUUGGGUAUUGUGACUUGGCCCAUCCCGCAUUGAUGAUUUUUUUCGCGUAUUUGACUGAGACUUAUUUGUUUUCAUUAUGCUUUGGGCUAAUUGCCAUAUUUGGGCUUCGUGCCAACUAUUUGAAUCCUUAG
rnacentral:lncRNA from 1 species